CAGAGGCCUCGAGCGUUAGGCGGAAUCACUGGGCUUAAAGCGUGUGUAGGUGGAUGCCUAAGUGCCUUGUGAAAUCCCACGGCUUAACCGUGGAAUUGCUGGGCAUACUGGGUGUCUUGAGCCACUCAGGGGCUACCGGAACAAAUGGUGGAGCGGUGAAAUGCGUAGAUAUCAUUUGGAACGCCAAUGGUGAAAACAGGUAGCUGGGGGUGUGCUGACACUGAGACACGAAAGCCAGGGGAGCAAACGGGAUUAGAUACCCCGGUAGUCCUGGCCCUAAACGAUGUCCACUAGAUCGUGGCGGUUCUAACGCCGUCAUGGUCGAAGCAAAAGUGCUAAGUGGACCGCCUGGGAAGUACGGUCGCAAGGCUA
rnacentral:rRNA from 1 species